GAAAUGGGAUAGGACAGAGUUCCGGGUGCCGGGCAGCCGCUGAGAGAAGCAGAACGUGGUAGCUGGUAGUGCAAAAAGGAAAGCCGGCAUGUUCCGAAUCGAGGGCCUUGCGCCGAAGCUGGACCCCGAGGAGAUGAAACGGAAGAUGCGCGAGGAUGUGAUCUCCUCCAUACGGAACUUCCUCAUCUACGUGGCCCUGCUGCGAGUCACACCUUUUAUCCUAAAGAAACUGGAUAGCAUAUGAAGAUGAACAUCACAUGUGAAUGCAUGAUAAGAGGAACCCGGUUACAACUUCUACUCCUAUCUGCAAAUGAAUAGGCCCCGAAAGAUGAGGAAAGAAAAUCGCUAAUUGAAAAUAUGUUCAUGAUACCAAGAGACUGAAGAUUAAUUUUUAUGGGACAGUGCGGAAACAUCAUGGAGACUACUGCUGGAUGUCAUACAGCAAUGGGAGUUUAUAAGAUGCUUUUCUUCCCAAAAUUCAGAUUGCAUUGCCUUUGAUUAUUUGAACUGAUGACAGAGAAGCAAUAUAUAGAUAAUUUAAAAUAAAAAAUAUUACAAAAAAGUUUUUAGAAAUGUGAUAGAAAAGAAUUAAAACAAGGAAAUGUAGGAAAUGGUCAAAUGAAUUGCUCAUCUUAAUAUCAUUAGUAAAAACUCAGCUUUUAUUUGAUUUUAGUGUACUUUUGAGUAAAAUUUAAUAGGCUUACUAUUGAAUCUUUAUGUCAACUAAAGUUUUAUAAAUGCUCAA